AUAUUUUAAAGUUAAUUAACUAUCUUGAUAUCUUCAAUAUCCUACUUUAUUUAAGCUAUUAAAAUA
rnacentral:tRNA from 1 species